CCGCACUGACUUUUUGGUAGACCGUAUUGAGAUACACGUGUGUGUCAAUUUUUGUGUCAAUUUUUACUCCCCAAAAGAGCGCCCACCCCCAUGGCAGGAGAAAAAAGUCAAUUUUUUCUUGUCGCCUAAGGUGAAAAUUCACAUUGUUGAGUGUGACACCUGUACGCUUUGUCAUAUUGACACAAAAUUUGACAAUCACGUGUAUCUCAAUAAGAUCUACGAAAAAGUCAAUGCGC